rnacentral:rRNA from 1 species
AACGAACGCUGGCGGCAUGCCUAACACAUGCAAGUCGAACGAGAUCUUCGGGUCUAGUGGCGCACGGGUGCGUAACGCGUGGGAAUCUGCCCUUUGGUUCGGAAUAACAGUUGGAAACGACUGCUAAUACCGGAUGAUGACGAAAGUCCAAAGAUUUAUCGCCAGAGGAUGAGCCCGCGUAGGAUUAGCUAGUUGGUGUGGUAAAGGCGCCCCAAGGCGACGAGCCUUAGCUGGUCUGAGAGGAUGAUCAGCCACACUGGGACUGAGACACGGCCCAGACUCGUACGGGAGGCAGCAGUGGGGAAUAUUGGACAAUGGGCGAAAGCCUGAUCCAGCAAUGCCGCGUGAGUGAUGAAGGCCCUAGGGUUGUAAAGCUCUUUUACCCGGGAUGAUAAUGACAGUACCGGGAGAAUAAGCUCCGGCUAACUCCGUGCCAGCCGCCGCGGUAA